UUCAGAUACGAANGCGGUGGGAGCAAAACGGGAUUAGAUACCCUGGUAGUCNCACGCCGUAAACGAUGUCUACUUUGAGGUUGUGGCCUUGAGCCGUGGCUUUCGGAGCUAACGCGUUAAGUAGACCGCCUGGGGAGUACGGUCGCAAGAUUAAAACUCAAAUGAAUUGACGGGGGCCCGCACAAGCGGUGGAGCAUGUGGUUUAAUUCGAUGCAACGCGAAGAACCUUACCUACUCUUGACAUCUACAGAAGCCAGCGGAGACGCAGGUGUGCCUUCGGGAACUGUAAGACAGGUGCUGCAUGGCUGUCGUCAGCUCGUGUUGUGAAAUGUUGGGUUAAGUCCCGCAACGAGCGCAACCCUUAUCCUUGUUUGCCAGCACUUCGGGUGGGAACUCCAGGGAGACUGCCGGUGAUAAACCGGAGGAAGGUGGGGACGACGUCAAGUCAUCAUGGCCCUUACGAGUAGGGCUACACACGUGCUACAAUGGCGCAUACAGAGGGCGGCCAACUUGCGAAAGUGAGCGAAUCCCAAAAAGUGCGUCGUAGUCCGGAUUGGAGUCUGCAACUCGACUCCAUGAAGUCGGAAUCGCUAGUAAUCGUGGAUCAGAAUGCCACGGUGAAUACGUUCCCGGGCCUUGUACACACCGCCCGUCACACCAUGGGAGUGGGCUGCAAAAGAAGUGGGUAGUUUAACCUUCGGGAGGACGCUCACCACUUUGUGGUUCAUGACUGGGGUGAAGUCGUAACAAGGUAACCGAAGGGCG
rnacentral:rRNA from 1 species